rnacentral:piRNA from 1 species
CAAAACAAGUGCUCAGUUCUUACCGUG